AUUGAACGCUGGCGGCAGGCCUAACACAUGCAAGUCGAACGAGUGGCGGACGGGUGAGUAAUGUCUGGGAAACUGCCUGAUGGAGGGUGAUCACUACUGGAAACGGUAGCUAAUACCGCAUACCAUCAGAUGUGCCCCGAUGGGAUUAGCUUGUUGGUGGGGUAACGGCUCACCAAGGCGACGAUCCCUAGCUGGUCUGAGAGGAUGACCGGCGACACUGGAACUGAGACACGGUCAAGAGUCCUACGGGAGGCAGCAGUGGGGAAUAUUGCACAAUGGGUGCAAGCCUGAUACAGCCAUGCCGAGUGUAUGAAGAAGGCCUUCGGGUUGGAAAGUACUUUCAGCGGGGAGGCGUUACCCGCAGAAGAAGCACCGGCUAACUACGUGCCAGCCGCCGCGGUAAUUC
rnacentral:rRNA from 1 species